GAUGAACGCUGGCGGCGUGCCUAAUACAUGCAAGUCGAGCGAAUGGAUUAAGAGCUUGCUCUUAUGAAGUUAGCGGCGGACGGGUGAGUAACACGUGGGUAACCUGCCCACAAGACUGGGAUAACUCCGGGAAACCGGGGCUAAUACCGGAUAACAUUUUGAACCGCAUGGUUCGAAAUUGAAAGGCGGCUUCGGCUGUCACUUAUGGAUGGACCCGCGUCGCAUUAGCUAGUUGGUGAGAUAACGGCUCACCAAGGCAACGAUGCGUAGCCGACCGGAGAGGGGGCACGACCACAGUGGGAAUGAGACACGCCCCAGACUCCUACGGGAGGAAGCAGUAGGGAAUCUUCCGCAAUGGACGAAAGUCUGACGGAGCAACGCCGAGUGAGUGAUGACGGCUUUCGGGUCGUAAAACUCUGUUGUUAGGGAAGAACAAGUGCUAGUUGAAUAAGCUGGCACCUUGACGGUACCUAACCAGAAAGCCACGGCUAACUACGUGCCAGCAGCCGCCGUAA
rnacentral:rRNA from 1 species